UUUGGGUUUUCUGAAACCUGCUUAGAAACUGGCCUGUCGUAAUCCCUAUCUGUUGGGGACCCCUAACACACUAAAUAGGCACUGUUUCCUCUGUAAGUGCAAAUGACAAAUAAUAAUUAUGUGAUGGAUUUCAUGGUAGCUUUAAUUAGUGAAAGAUAUAUCUUAUAAGGCAUUCAUACAAAAAGUUGAUUCAUAAGUUUGCUAGGAUUUACAGUCGUGUUCUUUUCCUUUUUUCUCGAAAAAAAAAAAUUGCAAUAGUAGUUGUUAAUGUUGUGCCAGUCCUGGUGGGUAGGCAUCCACCUCUAGCACAAAACAAGUAGGGGAACCCCUUUGGUGUACAUUGUGUUUGAUGUUGAUUAUUUUAUUUUACAUUUUUUUCCCUUUUUAGUAUUACUUUGCAAUUUGAAGGAGUUGGCCUAGGAAGUCUAUAAAUUGUAGAAUGAAGACCAUAAUUUUUCUGAUAGUUCUUAUGGAAAAAAUGUAUUGGUCAUUUUGGGUUAGCAUGAACUAAAGUAAAUAUUUUAAUUUUUAGCUGUCUUUGUUGUGUUUUAGCACAAUCAUCAUCUAACGAAGACUGUAUUACACUUUUAUGUCUGUACAGCAUAUAUACAUAUGAUUUAGUGGACAUACUUCGAUGUGCUUUCAGACUUGAGAAAAUCAUAGCUUUUACCUUUUUUCACUUCUCCCAUGUUAUCAAUAUAUCAUCUCCAAUGAAAUCAUCCUGUAACUUUUACCCCGGAUAUAUUCUCUGCU
rnacentral:lncRNA from 1 species